rnacentral:tmRNA from 1 species
GGGAUAGUAAAGGUUUCGACAGGGGUCUUGCAGAUGGAGAAGCUAUCCGGAGCCGAACGUGAAACGGCAAACCUAAAUACAAACGCUAACAACAAUAGAAGAUUAGCACUGGCAGCCUAAGGCUGCGUGUCGCCUGCAGGGCACUCGCCACCUGCAGAUACGGCAUUAUGAAGGCGGGAAACGACAUAGAUUAAGCUUUGCGUCUAUGGGCGUAUGAUGAAGCUACCAACUCCGAGGGGCUGUCUGUUUCCUCCCGGAAGGCGGGAAUGCGGGUUCGCCCGGUAUAACAGACUAUGAUAGUAGAAGUACAUUGAAUGGGUCUUUGGACACGGGUUCGACUCCCGUCUAUUCCAUCC